ensembl:lncRNA
UGCUGGUGCACGUACUUAAGACGCUGGUUUUGUUUAUUACAAUAUGCCUGGAAGAGAGUGAACUGACGGCGCGGACAAAUUACCAAAGUUGAUGUUCUAUCCAAGAGGGUUUUAAGCUUCACUGGUGAGAGUGUCCAGGUGAUACAUGUUGAGGGAAGAUGAGAACAUAGCAGGUGAAUUGCACGCACGCUUACAAACACACAUGAUUUAAAUAUAGGCCAGGCCAAAGGCCUGGACUUGAUGCAGCUUUCAACUUUACAGCUCCUAACUUGCAGGAAUGGCGGGAGUGUAAUGAAUGAAUGCAAAACAUGCUUACAGACACAAACAUGACAGGGGUUUAUUUUACAGGGUAAAGGUGGACCACAGGUUGCUUUGUUUCUGCUUAGCAACUACUGAGGUAAAUGGUGUUAAAGAUAAAUAUGCAAUAAGUGAACAGGAAAUGUGUAAGGGUGAGCCGGGUGAAACAAAAUGUUGUAGAUAAUGGAAACUUGUCUAACGGGCAUUAACAGUAACCUUUGCAUGUUAUGUAUAUGCUUGAGGCCAAAAGAGGCGUAAAACCAGAUAGAAAACUUUGAAGUGUGCUUUUUAGCGGAGAGUCAGGCUGACAUGGGGAUGGUGUGUAUUUUAUUGGGGUGGUGUUCAAUAAAGCUAAAAGCGUUGCUCACACACAUAAAGAGUAUUGAGAUUGAAUAAAGUUAAUAUAAUGGAUAGAGCCCAGAACAGGAUAAUACAUAAGUGAAAUCAAAUGCAAUGUUUGAUUUCACUUUUAUUGGGAAAUAAUCAGGCUAGAAAUGUGAGUAACCUAUGUUUAAACUGUGAAAACACUCUCCACAUACUUUGAAACUGCGCAACUCUGAGUGGGCAAUGUAAUGAAGCAACUGUUACAUAUCUGUAUUAAACUAGCCAACAUAGACUCACCACAAAACGAUGUAGGAUGUUGCCCUGCAGCGGGGCAGAAAAUCAUUUGCAAACCAGGGAUCUUAGGUUGAUUAUUAUAUUCUUACUUAUGUACACACACACACACAGAAGGGAAAAAUUUCAAAACAAAACAAAAAAUAACUUCGCUUAACCUGUCAAGCACAGGAGCAAAAUAAAAUCCCUUUGGGCUCUGUUAAAAUUUCUUUAGUAAAAGUGUAAAAGGCCAAACUUAAGAGGUUGGCCAACCCUGAAAGUCCCGCCAAUAUCAGGAGUUAAUAGUCAGGAAACAUUCUCACAUUAACGCUUUUUUUCUGAAAAACCACUGACUCAUAGAUGCAGAUAGAUAUACAAGUGCACAUACAUCCAGAUGUGCACUUAGACAUUAAAAGUGUAGAGACAUGUACACACAGAUUGGCAAACCGGUACAGAGUCUAGCUGAAGAGCUUAACAAAGUAGACGUGGCAGUAGGGUUUGUGAUUUUGCCUGAUAUGAUAUUGUGAACCAACUUUGAAUAAUGACAGGAACCUGAGAUGAACACAGUAAGUUAGUAAGGUGUAGCAGAGAAAGGUUGUUUGUUUUCUAUCCCUUACAGGAGAAGAUUUCCACUAGAGAGGGACCCAGAAAAGGAGCAGAGACCACUUAAGCAUGAAGUGUUUUCAAGUGGGAGCUGGUGUUU